CACACUGCCCACCACUGUAUCUACCAUCCGACCGGCUGCUGCCCUGGCUCCCACUACCACCAUGAGGCCUGGGGUUCAGGCUACUCCGACACGGAUGCCGGUGGUGAUUACACAGAUGGUUCGUACUCAAGGUGCUGUUGGGACACCCUUGCAAGUGAGGAGCCCCAUGGGUGUGGCUGUUCAAGCGUCAGCCAAUCAGAAACAGAAGCUGAAUGACCCUGGGGGUGGGACU